UCUCCGUUGGUGAACCAGCGGAGGGAUCAUUACAGGACUCGCAAGACUCCUACAACCCUGUGAACUUAACUAUAAGCACGUUGCUUCGGCGGGUGUCUCGGAGGGGGUUCUCCCUCCCCGAGACGCUAAACCCGCCGGCAGCCUCUAUACUCUGUCUCUUUGCGUUGGCAUCUCGAGUACAAUCAAACAAGUUAAAACUUUCAACAACGGAUCUCUUGGUUCUG
rnacentral:misc_RNA from 1 species